rnacentral:rRNA from 1 species
AUGACUGCCCAAAUAAGAAGCGUAAACCCAUCCCCACGUAAGGUUCUGCGAUACCUUCCAUUUCUAUCAAGAUUGCAAAGGUUGUUCAUGCAGCCUGAAUUUGCUAAGCACACGAGAUGGCACAUGGAAGGCAUCCAAGAAAAUCUAGGAAUGAUGGUGCACCCAGGUGAUAGUGAAUCAUGGAAAUCUUUCAAUGAGGAUGGGUUUGCAAGUGAUUCACGCAAUGUUAAGCUAGUCAAGUCCUCUGAUGGCUUCAACCCUUUUAAUUUCGGGUUAACACAAUACUCUUGUUGGUUUGUGUUUCUUGCUCCUUUGAAACUGCCACCUGCUCUUUACUUGAAAACCCAAAAUAUCUUUCUUAGCAUGGUGAUCCCUGGACCAAAGGGUCCUGGCAAGAACUUCAAUGUGUACAUGGUCUCUCUUUAA